rnacentral:lncRNA from 1 species
UUCCCCCACCAGAGAAUCCCGGAGUCAAACGAUGAGGAUCGUCGGAGUUUUCUCAUGAAAGUCAUCAUCAUGCUCACCCCAAAUUCUCGUCGGAGAGAUCAUCAGAGCUCGAGGUAAGUCCGACUUCUCUUCCUCCCAUCUUCCCCUUCCUUCCCUUGCCUGUGUGCAUGAUUGUCGAUGAUCGAGUUUGUUGGAUUUUGUUGGAGAAAAUGUCCCCUAUUUUUUGGUCCUCUUUUCUUCGAUUUUUCGACGUUGGUGGUCACCACCGACCACCGAUUUGGUCCCUUCAAACCACGGGAUCGUCGUCCCCUUAUCACCGACUACCGUCGUACUGACUGCAGCCCUGGGUCGACCGAGCAAAUGGGGGACCACACGGUCCUCUAUUUUUGCCCAAAAGAAACCGCAGGAAGAAGAAGGAAGAAAAGAAAAAGAAAAAAAGGAAAGAAAGAAAAAGAAAUAGAAAAAGAAAUGAAAUGAAAAGAAAAGAAAAAGAAAAAAAAGAAGAAGAAAAAUAGAAAAAAAAUAGACUCUCUCUCUUCUCUCUCCCCCUUCAACCUGAACUAGUAUUUUCUCUCUCUAAAAUUGGACUUUCUCUCUCUACUUUAUCUCUCUAGAUUCUUCUUUCUAGGUUAUUUCUCUCUCCUAAUAUUUUUAAAAUUUUGAGAAUAAUGAUGAUGAAUUGAAAUUAAUCCUAGACAUAGAUUUUUGAUCUGUAAUUAUCAAACGGUACACCGACACCCACUUUGAUCAAACCUAAUAUUUUUUAAGAUUCUAUUUUUCAUAAUUUUAUUGAAUUAUCCACAUGAUAAUUUUAGUAUAAUUUGAUUUGAUCGAUCGGAUUUGUUGAAUCAUAUCAUUUGAGGAGUCCAAGAUGAAUUUCUCUCUCUAAAAUUAUUUCUCUCUCUUGAUUGAUCUCUUUUUCUAAAAAGAUUAGUCAAUGAAAGAAUUUCUUUUAAUAUUUUUGAUCUGAUGAAGAAUCUUGAUCCAUGAUUGUCGGGCAAUGUAUUGGCACUCACCUUGAUCAGAUCUGAUGUUUCUCAAUUUAAUUAUCCAUGAUCCUGAUUUAACCAUGACUUCGAUUAGAUCAUUUUGAUCACACCAAUCGAGAUGUUGGACUAUGGCAACUGAUUAAUUUGGUUUGUAUCUCAUGAAUUCUUUAUCCUCUAAUUUUCUCUCUCCACUUGAUUCAUGAACCCAAUGAAGGAACAUCGAUCUUAUCACUUCGAAUUCGAUUUGAUCUGAUAGUCAAACUUUGGAUCAUUUAUGUCCUAAUUAGAUUUUGACUAGAUGAAAUUAGAUGAUCGGAUCAAUCUGGAUGAUAGGAUAUAGGUGUCCAUCAAUUCUAUUUUUCUUAAUUAUUUUGGUUCUUUCUAAUUAUUGAAAUUGAUCCUGUAUAGGAU